CGGUUAAGUUAGAAAGGGCGCACGGUGGAUGCCUUGGCACUAGGAGCCGAUGAAGGACGGGACGAACACCGAUAUGCUUCGGGGAGCUGUAAGCAAGCUUUGAUCCGGAGAUUUCCGAAUGGGGAAACCCACCACUCGUAAUGGAGUGGUAUCCAUAUCUGAAUACAUAGGAUAUGAGAAGGCAGACCCGGGGAACUGAAACAUCUAAGUACCCGGAGGAAGAGAAAGCAAAUGCGAUUCCCUGAGUAGCGGCGAGCGAAACGGGACCAGCCCAAACCAAGAGGCUUGCCUCUUGGGGUUGUAGGACACUCUGUACGGAGUUACAAAGGAACGAGGUAGAUGAAGAGGUCUGGAAAGGCCCGCCAUAGGAGGUAACAGCCCUGUAGUCAAAACUUCGUUCUCUCCUGAGUGGAUCCUGAGUACGGCGGAACACGUGAAAUUCCGUCGGAAUCCGGGAGGACCAUCUCCCAAGGCUAAAUACUCCCUAGUGACCGAUAGUGAACCAGUACCGUGAGGGAAAGGUGAAAAGCACCCCGGAAGGGGAGUGAAAGAGAUCCUGAAAACCGUGUGCCUACAAGUAGUCAGAGCCCGUUAAUGGGUGAUGGCGUGCCUUUUGUAGAAUGAACCGGCGAGUUACGAUCCCGUGCAAGGUUAAGCAGAAGAUGCGGAGCCGCAGCGAAAGCGAGUCUGAAUAGGGCGAAUUGAGUACGUGGUCGUAGACCCGAAACCAGGUGAUCUACCCAUGUCCAGGGUGAAGUUCAGGUAACACUGAAUGGAGGCCCGAACCCACGCACGUUGAAAAGUGCGGGGAUGAGGUGUGGGUAGGGGUGAAAUGCCAAUCGAACCUGGAGAUAGCUGGUUCUCUCCGAAAUAGCUUUAGGGCUAGCCUCAAGGUAAGAGUCUCGGAGGUAGAGCACUGAUUGGACUAGGGGCCCCUACCGGGUUACCGAAUUCAGUCAAACUCCGAAUGCCGAUGACUUAUCCUUGGGAGUCAGACUGCGAGUGAUAAGAUCCGUAGUCGAAAGGGAAACAGCCCAGACCGCCAGCUAAGGUCCCAAAGUAUACGUUAAGUGGAAAAGGAUGUGGAGUUGCUUAGACAACCAGGAUGUUGGCUUAGAAGCAGCCACCAUUUAAAGAGUGCGUAAUAGCUCACUGGUCGAGUGACUCUGCGCCGAAAAUGUACCGGGGCUAAACGUAUCACCGAAGCUGCGGACUGUUCUUCGAACAGUGGUAGGAGAGCGUUCUAAGGGCUGUGAAGCAAGACCGGAAGGACUUGUGGAGCGCUUAGAAGUGAGAAUGCCGGUAUGAGUAGCGAAAGAGGGGUGAGAAUCCCCUCCACCGAAUGCCUAAGGUUUCCUGAGGAAGGCUCGUCCGCUCAGGGUUAGUCGGGACCUAAGCCGAGGCCGAAAGGCGUAGGCGAUGGAUAACAGGUUGAUAUUCCUGUACCACCUCCUCACCAUUUGAGCAAUGGGGGGACGCAGGAGGAUAGGGUAAGCGCGGUAUUGGAUAUCCGCGUCCAAGCAGUUAGGCUGGGAAAUAGGCAAAUCCGUUUCCCGUGAAGGCUGAGCUGUGAUGGCGAGCGAAUUAUAGUAGCGAAGUUCCUGAUUCCACACUGCCAAGAAAAGCCUCUAGCGAGGUGAGAGGUGCCCGUACCGCAAACCGACACAGGUAGGCGAGGAGAGAAUCCUAAGGUGAUCGAGAGAACUCUCGUUAAGGAACUCGGCAAAAUGACCCCGUAACUUCGGGAGAAGGGGUGCUCUGUUAGGGUGCAAGCCCGAGAGAGCCGCAGUGAAUAGGCCCAGGCGACUGUUUAGCAAAAACACAGGUCUCUGCGAAGCCGUAAGGCGAAGUAUAGGGGCUGACGCCUGCCCGGUGCUGGAAGGUUAAGAGGAGCGCUUAGCGUAAGCGAAGGUGCGAAUUGAAGCCCCAGUAAACGGCGGCCGUAACUAUAACGGUCCUAAGGUAGCGAAAUUCCUUGUCGGGUAAGUUCCGACCCGCACGAAAGGCGCAACGAUCUGGGCACUGUCUCAACGAGAGACUCGGUGAAAUUAUAGUACCUGUGAAGAUGCAGGUUACCCGCGACAGGACGGAAAGACCCCGUGGAGCUUUACUGCAGCCUGAUAUUGAAUGUUGGUACAGCUUGUACAGGAUAGGUAGGAGCCUUGGAAACCGGAGCGCCAGCUUCGGUGGAGGCAUCGGUGGGAUACUACCCUGGCUGUAUUGACCUUCUAACCCGCCGCCCUUAUCGGGCGGGGAGACAGUGUCAGGUGGGCAGUUUGACUGGGGCGGUCGCCUCCUAAAAGGUAACGGAGGCGCCCAAAGGUUCCCUCAGAAUGGUUGGAAAUCAUUCGCAGAGUGUAAAGGCACAAGGGAGCUUGACUGCGAGACCUACAAGUCGAGCAGGGACGAAAGUCGGGCUUAGUGAUCCGGUGGUUCCGCAUGGAAGGGCCAUCGCUCAACGGAUAAAAGCUACCCCGGGGAUAACAGGCUUAUCUCCCCCAAGAGUCCACAUCGACGGGGAGGUUUGGCACCUCGAUGUCGGCUCAUCGCAUCCUGGGGCUGUAGUCGGUCCCAAGGGUUGGGCUGUUCGCCCAUUAAAGCGGUACGCGAGCUGGGUUCAGAACGUCGUGAGACAGUUCGGUCCCUAUCCGUCGCGGGCGCAGGAAAUUUGAGAGGAGCUGUCCUUAGUACGAGAGGACCGGGAUGGACGCACCGCUGGUGUACCAGUUGUUCUGCCAAGGGCAUCGCUGGGUAGCUAUGUGCGGACGGGAUAAGUGCUGAAAGCAUCUAAGCAUGAAGCCCCCCUCAAGAUGAGAUUUCCCAUUCCGUAAGGAAGUAAGAUCCCUGAAAGAUGAUCAGGUUGAUAGGUCUGAGGUGGAAGUGUGGCGACACAUGGAGCUGACAGAUACUAAUCGAUCGAGGACUUAACCAAUUU
rnacentral:rRNA from 1 species